AAGACUUAAUUGAACAACAAUUAAACCAAGAGAGAAAGAAAACUUAAUCAAAUGCAUGAAAAAUUAAAUUGAAUCACAAUAUGAUAAAAAUAGCCCACAAGUGGCUAUUUUAAAUAUAACUCACAAGGGCCCUUCUUGAUUGCCCCAAUGACAUCUUGAUCGCCCAUGGCCUUGUGUAUUUGUUGUUUCAUGGCUUCAUCUAGACUCCAAUCUAUCAUUCAUAUAUGGAAAUCCCUCCAAAUAUGUUGCUAACUGUGCUCAUAUUGAAUUAACAGAGUUUAAUACUUCUAUACAUAUAUUGAGGAGUGACAGUGCCAAGGAAUACACGUCAGCAUUUUUUCAGAACUACAUAAAUCUAUUUGGUAUUCAUCACCAGUCUUUGUGUGUGGAUACAACUUCUCAAAGAGAGUGGAUGAGGGGAAAAAUAGACAUUUUCUUGUGACUACUCGCACUUCACCAUUCCAAAUGAAAGUACCCAAGCAAUUUUGGUCAGAUGCAGUGUCCUCAACUUGCUUUUUGAUUAACCGUAUGCCAUCCACAGUGCUUAAUGGUGAUAUUCCCUAUGGUGUUCUCUUUCCUAAUAAGCCAUUAUUUCCAUUAGAACCAACGGUGUUUAGGAGUAGAUGUUAUUCUCAUGAUGUGAAGUGUGUUCUUUUGGGAUAUUUUCACCUAUAUGAGGAUUAUUAUCAGUGCUGCUCUCCAACACUUAACAGAUAUGUGGUGUCAAAGGACGUAGUCUUCUCUGAUGACAUGUCAUUCUUUUCCUCUCCCAACAUUUCUCCCUCUAAGGGAGAGGAAGAAGAAUGGAUCAUCUAUGAGAUCACUCCACCGAGCUCAGAACUUCAUGAUAAAGUUCCUCCUAGUGCCUCUUUUGAGCAGUCGACUAAAAAUAUGUCGUCUGAUGUUGCUCCCGCUCCAACAAAGCUACCGUCUGUUAAAGUUUAUUCCAACUGAAAAGAGACCAAUGCUACAUGUUCUGCACCAACUCUUCAUCAUCGGAUCCUCCUUUGGUCAAUGCCUCUCCACAAAAUCUUGACAUUUUCGUUGCUCUCCGCAGAGGCAUCUUGGCCAUCUUUUCAAAGAAGGAGAGCUAUUACAGUAGCAACACAACAUACCAGUGUGAUCCCACAAUAGAGGUCUGGGAAAGAUGGGAAAGAUACGGUGUACGAGAAUAAAAAUAAUCAUUUUACCGGGGUCUGAGCCACACUUCCAGGGAUUUGCUAAUAGGUUGAAUUCUAUCAGAGAUUGCAGAUGGGUCUGAGCCACAGUUCCAGGGUUCUGCUAAGAGGUUGAAUUCUGUCAGAGAUUGCAGAUAGUGAUCCUCCCUUCUUUCGGAAGGCCUAAUCUAUAUGUCAUUGUUAUUUUAUUUUGAUUCAUGGUCCGACUAGGGCCUUUUUCCAACCUUCAGAAAGAUUUUAUUUUUAGUUAGUAAAGAUUUCACGGACUAGUGUUAGAUGAUUUUUAUCUUUAUAAACUCAUUUUGGUAUUGAGCAGUUGAAUAAAAGUUGACCAUGAUUCCA